rnacentral:rRNA from 1 species
AUUGAACGCUAGCGGCAUGCCUUACACAUGCAAGUCGAACGGCAGCGGGGGAGCUUGCUCCCGCCGGCAAGUGGCGAACGGGUGAGUAAUACAUCGGAACGUACCCAGUAGCGGGGGAUAGCCCGGCGAAAGCCGGAUUAAUACCGCAUACGCCCUACGGGGGAAAGGGGGGGAUCGCAAGACCUCUCACUAUUGGAGCGGCCGAUGGCUGAUUAGCUAGUUGGUGGGGUAAAGGCCUACCAAGGCGACGAUCAGUAGCUGGUCUGAGAGGACGACCAGCCACACUGGGACUGAGACACGGCCCAGACUCCUACGGGAGGCAGCAGUGGGGAAUUUUGGACAAUGGGCGAAAGCCUGAUCCAGCAAUGCCGCGUGUGCGAAGAAGGCCUUCGGGUUGUAAAGCACUUUUGUCAGGGAAGAAAUCGUUUGGGUUAAUACCCCGAGCAGUUGACGGUACCUGAAGAAUAAGCACCGGCAAACUACGUGCCAGCAGCCGCCGUAA